rnacentral:rRNA from 1 species
AGAACGAACGCUGGCGGCAGGCUUAACACAUGCAAGUCGAACGGUUGUAGCAAUACAGCAGUGGCAGACGGGUGAGUAACACGUGGGAACCUUCCUAGGGGUACGGAACAACUCAGGGAAACUUGAGCUAAUACCGUAUACGUCCGUGAGGAGAAAGAUUUAUCGCCCCUAGACGGGCCCGCGUAGGAUUAGGUAGUUGGUGAGGUAACGGCUCACCAAGCCUACGAUCCUUAGCUGAUCUGAGAGGAUGAUCAGCCACACUGGGACUGAGACACGGCCCAGACUCCUACGGGAGGCAGCAGUGGGGAAUCGUUGGACAAUGGGCGCAAGCCUGAUCCAGCCAUCGCCGCGUGAGUGAAGAAGGCCUUACGGGUUAGUAAACGCUCCGUUUUAACAGGGUACGAAGUAAGUGAACGGUACC